rnacentral:rRNA from 1 species
GGGCCCGCACAAGCAGUGGAGUAUGUGGUUUAAUUCGAUGCAACGCGCAGAACCUUACCCGGCCUUGACAUCCUUAGAAUCCCUUAGAAAUAUGGGAGUGCCUUCGCAAGAAGGAGCUAGGUGACAGGUGCUGCAUGGCUGUCGUCAGCUCGUGUCGUGAGAUGUUCGGUUAAGUCCGGCAACGAGCGCAACCCCUAUUAUUAGUUGCCAUCACUUCGGGUGGGCACUCUAAUGAGACUGCCGGUGAUAAACCGGAGGAAGGUGGGGAUGACGUCAAGUCCUCAUGGCCUUUAUGGUCGGGGCUACACACGUACUACAAUGGGUACUACAGAGGGCAGCGAGACCGCGAGGUGGAGCCAAUCCCAGAAAAGUAUCCUCAGUUCGGAUUGGAGUCUGCAAUUCGACUCCAUGAAGUUGGAAUUGCUAGUAA